GAUUCAGAAAAAGUUGCAUCAUGAGCGAGGGAAGCAGAAGCCAGAAGAGGUAGCUCCUCCUACAGUAGAAGACACCCACCCGGCCACACUUCUGGUUAUAUAAUCCCCAAAUAUCGUUUUCUCUGGGAGAAAGGUACCAGGGUUAGGUAUCCAUCCACACAGCAAUGCAUCUGCCUUCAACUCCCUCUCGCCCCCCACCCCAACACACAUCUCUCUCUUUUCUAGGGAAGGAAAUGACGAAGGGGACGACGACGGCAUGCUUCGGCUAGCUCGUUGGUGCUAGGACAAGGGCGGAGGUAUUGGCGCGCCUCAAUCCGAAGGCGUGGCUGAUAGAUUGGCGCGGCAGCCAUGUUCUUGGAUUGAGCCGCGUCAAUAUCUCCCGUUGCCUGUCCCGUACCUAGCUAGCUUGCUUGCCUCACUGAUCGAUGUCGUCCCUAUUUCAUGGAGAAGCUGAUGAUUAUUCGCACAAGCAAGAACUGUCUGAUCUGUUGCCUGCAUCAGGAUCUAUAUGCUGGAGAGUUCACAAGAACACGGACAGAACUCGUUUCAACAACCGAUCAAUCGAUUGAUUAGGUAUGUACCUACCUCAUAUGCCUCAGCUCUUCGUUAUGGAUUUCUUCAAGCGAAGGGUCAGUAAAAGCUCUUGGUUCCAUGCCACUGCGUGAACUAAGCGUUCACAAAAUCUGUUCCACUGCAUGAACCAAGCGCUCAAAAUCGCAUGCACAGCAUCUUUCGUUUAAAAAAAUGACUUCUGAAAACAAUAGAUGAAUCAGUUUUAAACAUCUAGGAUUAUCCAUUUUCUCAAACGGGAAUUUAUAUCUCGUUGGGAUGCAAAACCAUUCAGUAGUAAAAAUACUCCACGCUUAUAAACAGUUUCAGUUAUUUUACUAAUUAGUUACCCGUAUAUUGCUAAGGGCCUACUGUUUCUAUAUAUCUAUAAGUAGACCUUACUUAAAUGAGAUAGUUAUUCAAACACGAUCCAAGCCUAUAUAUAUAUGAUGUAGGGUGAGAUAAAUUGAAGUUUUUCGCUCGUUUUUUUCCUAUGCUCGUGAGAUCAGGGAGGGUGGGGGAGGGGGAGGUACAGAACUAUAGAUGGUCAAAUGAGUUGUGUCUAGCGGACCGACUAAAUACACGACCGAUUUAAUAGUGUCAUGGCCCACCCGACACGAUUCAAAAUAGACUCAAACUGUGCCUAGCCACCUUAUUGACCCACAAUGUCAACCAUUUGUAAACUUAGAAAUGAGCUAAAUAUCAUUGAUUCUCAAAACAUGGAUUGAAAAGUUACAUAUCAUAUUUAUUCAUAUACCGUUGAUUGAGCAGAAAUUUUAGUUGGUAAAAUUUUAAAUUUAAAUAAUACUUAUACCAACGUUCAAAUCAUAGAAAAUCAUCCUUGGGUCUCAAAAGUCAACGUGUGUAUGUUACACAAGUAUUCUUAACUUAUAUGCACAAAUUUAAGUGGGAUGAUGGUCAAUAAUUUGAAACCUGAGACUAAUAUCUUUACACAAGUCUAUUAUGUGUAUAGUCUUAAAUUAAAAGAAAAAUGGACUCCUCGGAUGAAUCAAAAGAGGAAAUUUUGUUUUCAAAGGGGAAAGGCCAAGAAUUAUUUUGCAGAGGAGAAAUAUUCAAAAACAAAACUUUGAAGAAAAUAUUGGUUUGCAUAAGGAUUUCUAAAGUACAAAAAAAUAGUUUGCAAAAUCAAAAAUCAAAAUGAAACUGAUCAUGGGCUUCCCUCUUAUUUUUUUUCAGUCAAAUAUUUUGAGUGGUAGUCUACGAAACUACAUUUUGUUGCAAACAUGACUUAAUAAAAUAAUUAUUAUGCCAUAAACAAGUAUUGCUAUAUAUUUGUUAAAAUCGUAUAUAUAUUUAUAAUAUUUAUCCUUUAUCUAACAUAACUGGGCACAAGUUGUAGUGGUUAGGAGGGGUUAUUAGGAGGUGAGCACGGUGUUCCUUGUGGCUUGGGUUUGAACCCUAGUGAAAGCACUAUUAUUAAUUUCACAUUUAUAGCGCCCUGGGUAAGAGGGUAGACGCUGAACAAAGGUGUAGUGAUAUUAGCUUAUGUUUGAUUAUUCAGGAAACUAUUUAUAUAUAUUUCUUUAAAUGAUAUCCAAAAUGGAAUACAAAUGUUGGCUUGUGAUAACAGAUAUGGAAGGUAUAUACAAAACAAUAAGUUUCAAGAUGACCGUGGUUUACCGAAGUACCCUCUUCAUCCUAAAAUAUAAAUAAUCCAAUUUUGUCUUAAGCCAAACUAUAGUAACUUUAAACAAAUUUGUAGAAAAUAAUAUUAACCUCGACAACAUCAUAUAAAAAUAUAUCUUAUCAUAUAUCAUUUAAUAUAUCUAAUCAAGCUAAUUUCAAGUUGUACAUAUUUUUUCUUCUUUUUUUAUAAACUUGCUCAAAGUUACUAUAAUUUGACUUGGAAUAAAACUAGUUUUUAUUAUAUUUCACGGCGAAUGGAGUGUGAGGUGUUUGAUAUUUCUACUACUUAUUAAGACAGUAAGCUUAUGUUUCAUUAUUCAGGAAACUAUUUAUAUAUAUUUCUUUAAAUGAUAUCUAAAAUGGAAUACAAAUGUUGGCUUGUGAUAACAGAUAUGGAAGGUAUAUACAAAACAAUAAGUUUCAAGAUGACCGUGGUUUACCGAAGUACCCUCUUCAUCCUAAAAUAUAAAUAAUCCAAUUUUGUCUUAAGCCAAACUAUAGUAACUUUAAACAAAUUUGUAGAAAAUAAUAUUAACCUCGACAACAUCAUAUAAAAAUAUAUCUUAUCAUAUACUCCAUCAUUUAAUAUGGUGUUUGAUAUUUCUACUACUUAUUAAGACAGUAAUGGGUAGACUUCUGUGUUCUAUCAUUCCCACGUGCAUCUCACGCCUACCUAAAAUUAAAUAAAAAAACACAAAUGUGACCCCAAUGGGAUUUGAACCCAUGACCUCUCAAACAAAUGUGCUUGUAGCUACCACUAUACAACAUAUGUGUUUAUGUUAAUAUUUGUUACAGUAAAAAUAUCUACUACAUCUCUCCCAAAUUCCACGUGGUAUCCUUGCACAAUGUGUAGUAGUAGAUAAUUAUCAACGAGAUUCCUGAAUUAUAUUUUUGGAUGGAGGGAGUAGUAUUUAAAGAAGAGUCUUGCAUGCAAUUUAUUUUGUUUGAAUAAUAUUUUCAACUUAAAUUCCUUUUUUAUAUGUGUGACAUGUAUUCUCCGUAAUAUUUUUUCCAUGGAUGUGACUUGUGAGUCAUUUUCGUAAACCAACACCAAAGAUGAGUCCAUGUUUCUUACUUGGAAACCUCGAACAAACACCACUGGCAAGAGGUACUCGCGUUGGCGUCGCUCAUCGACGACGAGAAGAAGCUUGGCGACUGUCAGUUCGACUUCUUGAAGCAAUCCUACGUGGCCGCAUGCGCCGCUAUGUUCGGCAAGCUCCGACGCAGCCGCCGCUUGGACGCGGUCCAGAGCGGCUGCACCGCGCUAUCCAUCUUCAAACAAGGGGACCUCAUGGUCGUCGCCAACGCCGGCGACUCUCGGGUUGUUCUGGGAACCGCAUGCGACGGCGACGUCGUCACACCGUCCAGCUCAUCAUCCACCUGAAGCUCAACCUGCCACGUAAGUCGCUACUGACCGGCCAUGAAUUCUUGUGCGCUGGGACGACAGCUGAUGCUGACGUUGUGUGAGUGUCCUCGAAUAUGAUGUAUGUAGAGGAGUAGCAUAUCCGGUGGUGCAAUGGCUAGGUGUACUACCUCGCUGAUGAGCCCGGGGUGCACUUUGUUUGGCAGCCCAACCAAAAGUCAUCGGUACUCGCCAUAUCGCGCGCGUUCGACGACUACUAUAUCAAGGACUGUGGCGUCAUCUUGGCGCCAGAGGUGACGUAGAGGAUGACCGACAGCAAUGACCACUCGCCAUCGUCGGGGUAGCUUUUGUACCAGCCUGCCUUUAAUUCUCUUCGCAAACACAUACACUUGCCUUUUUGUUUAAGCAAGCGUGUAUGGUGGUGCGUACCUGAUGACUGACAAUGUACGAGGGAACUUCUACAAGCAGGUGUGGCACAUGCUCUUUAAUGAUGAGACCAUGCAAAUCGUGACAUAUAUCGAAGUCUGCAUGAUACUGAUGGUUGCAAUGUAGUAGUGAAACAACUAAAUUAAAAUAACAAAAUUUAUGUAUGGCCAGGAUUACAAAUGGAAUAUGAAACAUUUUUAUAACAAUAUAAGACAUAUUUUGUAUAUAAGUUAUCAUGUUAUUAUAUGUUCCCGUUGCAACGUAUGAGCACUCACCUAGUAGAUAUAUAAAUGUGUUGUACACAUGUGUUAUAACAUGAAACCACUUUGGAUUAUAUAUCACAUCCAAAAAAUUCUAAUUUUGGGUGGGGAAUAGAAAACACUAAAAAAUAAAUGAUUUUGAUAUUUGUAUAAAACUUUUCAAGGUGAGUUAAAAAGCUUUCACGAAUUAGUUAUAGCAAACUAAAAUUGUUGUUAUAAACUUUUCUAAAAUAAAUUGAUGAGCUUUUGGUUGUUAUGUGUUGCGAGUGUGUAAAAUUUUUCAAAAUUUGUUCGUGACAAUGAUCUUCUUGUUGGGGGCCUUCGUCUCCCGAAGGUCCUCAAAAACACAAUUAACCAUUGAUUGUCAAGUAUUGCAGGAGCUUCGGCACAAGAAUAUCUUCGAUACAAGACAUUGGAGGGGUGACGAAGCUAUCUUCGUCAUAGCAACACAGGGAGACAAUGCAAGGAGAAGGAGUCAUCCUGAAUGAUGAAAGCAAAUGACAAUGUUGCCCUCGUAUUACUUGUAAAUCCUUUGUGUAAUCCUUAUGGGUGUAAAUGUAAUUUUAUACGAA